rnacentral:rRNA from 1 species
CCGACGAGUCCUGGCCGUUCGCGAGUCGUAGGGGCCCCCUCUGACUAACCCCGAAGGCGUAGCGAAAGCGAGAGAGCGUGUCGGAGGGCGUCGACCGGGAGAGGUGUCGUGGCGAAGUCGUCGGGGGGGGAAGCUGCAAGUCUCGGUUUCGGCCGUCUCUUGUUUGUUUUUUUCCCCCGCCUCCGAGCCGUGCCCGAUCCCGCCGGCGCGGUGUCUCGUCUUCCGUGCGCCGUCGCCGCAGGCCCGCACUUUUCUUCUCACGAGGAGAGGGAAGGCCGGCGGCUGGCGUGCGGUCGUAUUUGGUUCCCUCCUGCCCGAGACGGGCACCGGUCUAGGGAAUUGCGGGGCAUCAGCUUCCAUCCUCCUUCCGCCCAUCGGUGAGAUCCCGCGGCUUGAACUAGUCCUAUUUUGUCGUCGAGUUUAGGCACUGCGCGCGGGCGCAUCACCCCCGGGUCGGUUCCUUCUCCGAGUACGACUCGGCCGACUCUGGCGUAGCGAGCGACCAGGGACCCGAAAGAUGGCGAUCCACGCCCGGUCGGGAUGAAGCCAGAGGAAACUCUGGUGGAAGUCCGAAGCGCCUCUGACGUGCAAAUCGAUCGUCGGAACCGGGUGUAGGGGCGAAAGACCAAUCGAGCCGUCUA